ACACACAUAUAUAUAUGUAUAAUAUUGUAACAAGAAAAGCUCCAUGUAUUUCGUAUAGGCGAAGUUAAAGGUUUUCACAACAUUGUCAACUCCGCAAAUCCCAUAAUCCAGGUACGUAACUCAUGCAAAUAAUCUAUUAUCAUUAUAAUUUUCUCUCUUAAGCAUAUUUUUAAAGCAUAACUAAUCAUAUAUACUUUCUUUUUCCCCUGAAGGAGAGUUCAAGGAUUCAAGAAACUAUGAUGAGAAAACAGCUGAAAGAGGUUGAUUCAACUUCGGACUAUCCAAAAACUGGGCCAAAUCCUGGACAUGAACCAGGGAAGGGGAAUUGAUGAUACAAUUUAAUCAAAUUCAAUGUCUCUGGGGACCUACUGCAAGAUCUUGGUCUCAGGGCAUCAAACACAGAGACAAGACCAGCUUUGUGCUCUACAUAUAUAAUAGAUAUAUCAAUAUAUAACUUAUAUCUAUUUACGCCAUGUACAUGUUUCACAUGCAUGCAUGUAUUUUUAAAUAAGGUUACAUGUGAAUAUGAGUUAUCAUGUAUAUUUUAUCUGUUUGUCUGCAUAAGCUUGUUAAUUUUCAAUUACCUAUAUUUCCAAUAUGACGUCAAAUUUUCACAAUAUAAAUCCCAUGCAACUUGUUUUAGAAAUUUUCCGUGCUGCUGUUAUAUUCAAAUUUUUAUUUCUUUG
rnacentral:lncRNA from 1 species